UCCUAGAGCAACAUAAACUCCGCAAAUCAAACUCAGGGACAGAGUACAGUAUAUAAGACGUGCACGCGUGGGUAAAAAUGAAGCCAUAUUUUGGGAACAUUAACUAAAGAGAGACGCUUGGCAUCUUCAGAAGUGUGCUGAAUUUUCCUCUGUGGUUUGUUUGGUGGAGACUGCAGGAGCAACGUCAGCUGUGACCCGAGUCCAUUUAAUCAGCCGGCCCGCCGCUGGACGUCUGGCACCCAUGCACCUGCGGGCUCUCUCUAAUAGCAAUGACGAAAACCCAACUCGCUUUGCAUUGAGAUGCUAUUGAACAGAACAUGGUCCACCUGUUGGAACAUAACUCUGGAGAUAUUAUUAACAUGCUGAAAUAAACAAGAACGCAGAGCGGCUCGACAGAUGGAGGAGGGUUAGCAGCGUAAACGUGCGAGAAUUUCGCCUCGUGGCAAUGGAUCGAGCUGAGCCAAGCGCAGCUGCACAGGCCAUGUGUGUGUCUGCUGGGAAAAAUGAGAAGAUUGAGGUAAACCUCGCCUGGCCCCAAGGAGAAAGACGGGCAAGAUUGUCUUCAUACCUGUUCCUGAUGAAUGGGGGUUUAAGUCUUUAGGGGUGCAGAAAUGAUGCCGACAAGGAACACACACCACAUCAACUCAAAAACAAGAAGCCUCUGGGGAUUGAUUUGCUGACAAGUUUAACAUGAGCCACUGGAUCAAAACCAUAAAUCUUAUUAAAAGCAAUUUCCCAAUUCACGAUUUGGAAAAUCAUUACAAGUUGCAUGUGGAGUUUCCUACAAAAAUGUACAUUGAUGAUUUUGUUGUUGUGGAUAAGCUAACGUAUCUGCUCUAUUGGUGUGGACACCAGACACACAGCAGCGAUUUGUGAAUCUUGUAAAGCUCUCACGUUUCUCACGAUGAAGACAUUUAAUGACACUGUGACCAAAGCCAUCUGGAGCAUUUCCCCAAAGGCCUUCCACUCCAAACCCAAUUAGCCAAAUCACAUUUCAAAAGUGCUUGAGUUUACCUGCCAAUGGUCAAAUCCUUCAGGUGUUAAAAAGAGGGCUUAGAGCUGGAGGACAGAACCAGAGAGAAGAAUGAAGUGGGAUUAGAGCUAACAAAAGAGCCAAAGAUAUCCUCCGACACCUGUGCAGCUACUAUGGCCAGUGGAGUGGCUGCUAAUGGGAAAAGCCUGUGGUCCAAUUUGCAGGUGCUCAGAACCUAAUCUCGCAUCUCUCAGGAUAGGCCGGGUAUCUGCUUACCACUGUACCACUUCUCCAGAUUCGGUCUAACGCGAUAGGCGGACGACUUCCACCCUCGCAGCAUAAUCAAGGUAAUCAAUCAUUUACAUCAGUAAUUAGGGGCCAGUGUCAAAACAGAGAUGGAACAUGCGCCCGGGGACUUGUGUGACAUCAGACUUGGCGAGUGUUAUGGGUAAUGUGGGUCUGCGUGGGCAAGAGUCGGCGACUGUGGUCCAAAAGCCUGAGGUGAAGACAUUCCACACAACCUGAUCCAUGUUUCAGAAUACCGUUCAUUUCGUCUUCUCCAAUAGGCAAUCGAGACAAAACCUUGAAGCGGGGUCUAUUAAUACUACAUGGUGCCAAACCUGUUUUUCUUUGGGCUACGUCUACACUAAUCCGGAUACGUUUGAAAGACAUGUUUUUAUUUAAAACGAUCUUUGUCCACACUUCGUUCUUAGAAGUAAAGGUGCUAAAGGUGGCUAAAUAGUUUCAUAAAGAACUUUUUCUGUUUCACCUUUUGUAGUGGAAAACAGUUCUUUAGAUCAUAAAAAGGUUAAAUAGAAAUUGUUCUUCUAUAGGAGAACCAAAAAUGGCAUCGCUGUGAGGAAGCUUUUGAAGCACUUUUAUUUUAGGAGUGUUGUAUUUUCAAGCAGUUCCAAAAGUUGCUCAUCCGAAUCUGAAACGCUUACAUUGCUGUCCUGUGCACGAGGAAAACAUAAGACCCUUCAACGUGUGUCCUUUCCAUCAGGCCUUUAUUUACUUUCCACCUCUUUAAAAUGGCAAGUCAGGUAAGGUCAAGUAAAUCAAGUCAAGACACCACAACUUUUUUUAAAUGAUGUGGAAAUGUUGUUUAAACAAGACUAUAAAGUUGCAAAAGGUAGACUGGGAAUCAUGCCAGAAUCACGACAUGCAAAAUAUUAGACAUUCUAAAUAAUACAUAUAAAAUAAUGAAUAAAAAGUAAGAAAUAUGCUUUACUUCGGGCUAAAUUGGUCACAUGACUGUGUCACGUGACUAAAAUUGCAUCAUAGCUUUUGAAAGCCUCCAGCUGAUGUCAAUCAUUUUGUCUUACGCUUUGAAAUAAACCUAUCUGGAGUCCUCGAAACAAGCGCAAAAAUCAAACUCUGAAAGCUUGUAGGCCACGAAGCGUGUUACCCGUGGGAACGACGCAUGGCCCUUGCUAACAGUAAUAACAGCACAAACCGAGGACCUGUAGGUGUUUUUUACUUUAACCUUUCACGCUAAAUACCAACCGAUAGCCCAAGGGAGGGCGAGAGUUUAAAAGUCUGUUUAAGAAUGCAGAACACAGAGUCUCUCAGCUGAGUUAAACGGUGGUGCUUUGAAGCGGUGAGAGAGAGAGAGAGAGCCAUCAAACGAUCCAAUAAUGAAUUAGUACGUUGGAAGAGCCUGUACAUGGGUGGGGCUGCAGAUCAAAGCAUGUUUCUCUUAUUGCCCCGCACCUCAGGUGAAGUUGAGGCAUGCAGCCAGUUGAGGUGAAGCACUGUCCCGAGAACACAUGCAAAAUGCAGAACAGUUAGUUCAUCGUCCUCUAGCGUUAGUGUAGAUAUAACCUCAUGCAUGGCAUUGAUGAAAUUACUUCGGUUUAUAUAAUAAGCUAUGGUAUUACAGUAAAGAAUUAAGAAUGGAAAGCUUAAAAUUAGGGCUGUCAACGUUAACGCGUUAACGCGUGUGAUUAAUUAUUUUUUCCGAUUAACGUGUUAAAAUAUUUAACGCAGUAUCCGUUUUAUUUUGUCAUCCUUUGUCUAGCGUUACAUUAUAUAAUCACGCUCUAUUUCAUGUAAAGGCCUUUAAACCAUUUAAGCGCGAUUUGAAACCGUUGCUUUGACACGUUCAGUAUAGAUAGACUUCUAGCUUCUAGCCGUGGGAUGCAGCACAACACGACAGCGGCCCGUCUGGUGUAUACAGUCACGGGCUAAAGACUGCAUCAGUCAAUCUCUGUCAGAAGGCGCAGCACCAGUAUUAAGUUCUCUUUCGUGCUUGAAUGAACAAAACCACACCAGAUUAUGUCAGGAAGCCCGUUUUGUCUAGCAUUUUCGUAAACACAGAUUUCAAUGUGUUAAAUAAAAUCCUAUAUGAAUGCAAAGAGUUCUAAAAAUGGGAAGGGGCGUCUAAAAAAAAUCUUGUGGUUCAUUCUCUCCUUUGCUUACUCCAGCUUUAAUGCUCCCAGUAGCAUGGCCUUGUAAACUAACGGUACUGUUUAAUGUGUUGACAAAAUGUUUAUAUGCUCUCCUACUUGUAAGUCGCUUUGGAUAAAAGCGUCUGCCAAAUGAAUA